ensembl:piRNA 21ur-3331 ncRNA
UACAUCUUUUCUGUUUGGAAA